GGGAAAAAGAAAGCAGAGGACAGGCUGUGGGAUGGGAAUACAUUGAGCCACUACCUUGGGAUAUAAACACUCAGGAAUUUGAAGAUUCUAAAUUUGGAUUUGGUUCUCCAGUCAUUAGACAUGGAGACUGAAUAAAACACAGUGCGGGACUGUGAUCCCUGAGAGGGGGGAAUAGGCAGGUGAAACUGCAGCCUCUGCCUGCUCUGUGUGGAAGCAUUUUCUGAGUUGUGGUACAGAAAAGGGGAGCCCGCAUCCAGGACAGAAGUCCCACGGAGGCGUGGGAGCAGGGAUACAAGCAUGAGGAGGCUGAGAUGGCUCAAGUUUGGUGGACAGAGAAGCAAAGAAGAGGGGUCUUCACAAAGGAAAGUUUCCAGAGGUCUGACAGGAAUCCCUUUGAGUCUUAAUAUCCAUCUGCACAAUCUCAAGAUGAAGAAAAUCAAGUUUAAAGUGGUUAAAGAACAACCAAGUGAGCACAGAGUCAAGAUUUAAAGCCAAAUAAACCCAAA